rnacentral:rRNA from 1 species
GAUGAACGCUGGCGGCGUGCUUAACACAUGCAAGUCGAACGGUGAACACGGAGCUUGCUCUGUGGGAUCAGUGGCGAACGGGUGAGUAACACGUGAGCAACCUGCCCCUGACUCUGGGAUAAGCGCUGGAAACGGCGUCUAAUACUGGAUAUGUGACGUGACCGCAUGGUCUGCGUUUGGAAAGAUUUUUCGGUUGGGGAUGGGCUCGCGGCCUAUCAGCUUGUUGGUGAGGUAAUGGCUCACCAAGGCGUCGACGGGUAGCCAGCCUGAGAGGGUGACCGGCCACACUGGGACUGAGACACGGCCCAGACUCCUACGGGAGGCAGCAGUGGGGAAUAUUGCACAAUGGGCGCAAGCCUGAUGCAGCAACGCCGCGUGAGGGAUGACGGCCUUCGGGUUGUAAACCUCUUUUAGCAGGGAAGAAGCGAAAGUGACGGUACCUGCAGAAAAAGCGCCGGCUAACUACGUG